rfam:Ipomoea nil DNA, scaffold: scaffold1200, cultivar: Tokyo-kokei standard.
UACCUGUUGAUCCUGCCAGUAGUCAAUAUGCUUGUCUCAAAAAUUAAAGCAUGCAUGUCAAGUAGAAUAAAUUUCAGACUGUGAAACCAAUAGCCUCAUUAAUCAUAUAUUGUUUAUGUACCUACUACUCGGAUAAACCGUGUUAAUUCUAAGCAAAUACGUGCAACAAACCCGACUUCAAGAUGAUUUAUUAGAUAAAAGGUCGACGCGGCCCUUUGCCCGUUCUGCGAUGAUCAUUGAUUACUCCGGAUCCCACGCUUAGCCCGGCGACGCAUCAUUCAAAUUCUGCCCUAUCAACUUUCGAUGUUAGGAUAAUGGCCUACCAUGAGGACGGGUGACGGAGAAUUUAGUUCGAAUUCCGAGAGGACCUGAGAAACGUCCACAUCCAAGGAACGCAGCAGGCGCGCAAAUUACCCAAUCCUGACACCGGGAGUUAGUGAUCAAUAAUAAUCCAAUACCUGGCUCGAUCGAGUCUGGUAAUUGAAUGAGACAAUCAAAUCCCUUAACGAGGAUCCAUUGGAGGCAAUCUUGCCACAGCCGCGUAAUUCCAGCUCCAAUAGCGUAUAUAAUCUGUUGCAUUUAAAAAUCUCUUAGUUGGACUUGAGCCCCGUCUCCCCACGGCGUGUGCACCGGUGUUCGUCCCUUCUCCGCGAUGCGCUCCUGCCUAAUGCCGGGUCGCCUCCGCUGCUGUACUUGAAGAAAUUAAGUGCCUCAAAGCCAAGCUUACUUCUUAUACAUUAGCAUGGAAACAUUAUAGGAUUCGUCCUAUUACGUGCCUUUCGAUCGGUAGAAUGAUAACAGACAGUCGGGGGGCAUCGUAUCAUAUCAGAGGUUAAAUCUUGAUUAUGAAAGUACGAACAACUUGCGAAAGCAAUUCCCAAGGAUUUUUCAUUAAUCAAGAACGAAAGUUGGGGCUCGAAGACGAUCAAUACCGUCCUAGCUCAACCAUAAACGAUUGCGACCACGUAUCGGCGAUGUGCUUUAGGACUCCGCCGCACACCUUAUAGAAAUCAAAGCUUUGGUCCGGAUAUGCGCAAGUAAAACUUAAAGGAAUGACGCAAGACCACCAGAGAGGAGCCUGUGCUAAUUUGACUCACACGGGAAAACCAGGUCCAGACAUAAGUAAGGAUUACAGAUUAGAGACUCUUUCGAUAUUCAUAUGGUGUGUGCAUGGCCGUUCCUUAGUUGGUUGCGAGCGAUUUGUCUGUAAUUCCUUCUGUUAACGAACGAACCUCAGCCUGUAAACUAGGCUAUGCGGAGUAUCCUCCGCCAGCUUCUUCAUUAGAGGACUACGCUUCAAGCCCGCGGAAGUUGAGCAAACAGUCGGUGUAUCCCUUAGAUUCGGCGCACCGCCUACACUAUUAUUCAACACAUAUACCUGCCGACAGGCCCGGUAAUCUUUGAAAUUUCAUCUAUCGGCGGAUAGAUCAUUGCCCAAUUUUGAGUGGCCUUCAACGACGAUUCCAGUAACGCGAGAGUCAUCACUGCGUACGACUCCCUGCCUUUGUACACACCGCCCGUCGCUCCUACGAUUGAAUGAUCGGGUGAAGUGUCGGAUCCGGCGACUGGCGUCGCCUGCCCGCGACGUCGCGAAAGUCCACUUAACCUUAUCAUUUAGGAAGAAAGUCGUAACAAGGGUUUCCGUAGUGAAAAAAAAAAAAAGAAAUCCUCGAAGGAUCAUUC